AUUGAACGCUGGCGGCAUGCCUUACACAUGCAAGUCGAACGGUAACAGGUCUUCGGAUGCUGACGAGUGGCGAACGGGUGAGUAAUACAUCGGAACGUGCCCGAUCGUGGGGGAUAACGAGGCGAAAGCUUUGCUAAUACCGCAUACGAUCUACGGAUGAAAGCGGGGGAUCUUCGGACCUCGCGCGGACGGAGCGGCCGAUGGCAGAUUAGGUAGUUGGUGGGAUAAAAGCUUACCAAGCCGACGAUCUGUAGCUGGUCUGAGAGGAUGAUCAGCCACACUGGGACUUAGACACGGCCCAGACUCCUACGGGAGGCAGCAGUGGGGAACUUUGGACAAUGGGCGAAAGCCUGAUCCAGCCAUGCCGCGUGCAGGAUGAAGGCCUUCGGGUUGUAAACUGCUUUUGUACGGAACGAAAAGCCUCUUUCUAAUAAAGAGGGGUCAUGACGGUACCGUAAGAAUAAGCACCGGCUAACUACGUG
rnacentral:rRNA from 1 species